rnacentral:rRNA from 1 species
GGUUAAGCGACUAAGCGUACACGGUGGAUGCCCUGGCAGUCAGAGGCGAUGAAGGACGUGCUAAUCUGCGAUAAGCGUCGGUAAGGUGAUAUGAACCGUUAUAACCGGCGAUUUCCGAAUGGGGAAACCCAGUGUGUUUCGACACACUAUCAUUAACUGAAUCCAUAGGUUAAUGAGGCGAACCGGGGGAACUGAAACAUCUAAGUACCCCGAGGAAAAGAAAUCAACCGAGAUUCCCCCAGUAGCGGCGAGCGAACGGGGAGCAGCCCAGAGCCUGAAUCAGUGUGUGUGUUAGUGGAAGCGUCUGGAAAGGCGCGCGAUACAGGGUGACAGCCCCGUACACAAAAAUGCACAUGCUGUGAGCUCGAUGAGUAGGGCGGGACACGUGGUAUCCUGUCUGAAUAUGGGGGGACCAUCCUCCAAGGCUAAAUACUCCUGACUGACCGAUAGUGAACCAGUACCGUGAGGGAAAGGCGAAAAGAACCCCGGCGAGGGGAGUGAAAAAGAACCUGAAACCGUGUACGUACAAGCAGUGGGAGCACGCUUAGGCGUGUGACUGCGUACCUUUUGUAUAAUGGGUCAGCGACUUAUAUUCUGUAGCAAGGUUAACCGAAUAGGGGAGCCGAAGGGAAACCGAGUCUUAACUGGGCGUUAAGUUGCAGGGUAUAGACCCGAAACCCGGUGAUCUAGCCAUGGGCAGGUUGAAGGUUGGGUAACACUAACUGGAGGACCGAACCGACUAAUGUUGAAAAAUUAGCGGAUGACUUGUGGCUGGGGGUGAAAGGCCAAUCAAACCGGGAGAUAGCUGGUUCUCCCCGAAAGCUAUUUAGGUAGCGCCUCGUGAAUUCAUCUCCGGGGGUAGAGCACUGUUUCGGCAAGGGGGUCAUCCCGACUUACCAACCCGAUGCAAACUGCGAAUACCGGAGAAUGUUAUCACGGGAGACACACGGCGGGUGCUAACGUCCGUCGUGAAGAGGGAAACAACCCAGACCGCCAGCUAAGGUCCCAAAGUCAUGGUUAAGUGGGAAACGAUGUGGGAAGGCCCAGACAGCCAGGAUGUUGGCUUAGAAGCAGCCAUCAUUUAAAGAAAGCGUAAUAGCUCACUGGUCGAGUCGGCCUGCGCGGAAGAUGUAACGGGGCUAAACCAUGCACCGAAGCUGCGGCAGCGACGCUGAUGCGUUGUUGGGUAGGGGAGCGUUCUGUAAGCCUGCGAAGGUGUGCUGUGAGGCAUGCUGGAGGUAUCAGAAGUGCGAAUGCUGACAUAAGUAACGAUAAAGCGGGUGAAAAGCCCGCUCGCCGGAAGACCAAGGGUUCCUGUCCAACGUUAAUCGGGGCAGGGUGAGUCGACCCCUAAGGCGAGGCCGAAAGGCGUAGUCGAUGGGAAACAGGUUAAUAUUCCUGUACUUGGUGUUACUGCGAAGGGGGGACGGAGAAGGCUAUGUUGGCCGGGCGACGGUUGUCCCGGUUUAAGCGUGUAGGCUGGUUUUCCAGGCAAAUCCGGAAAAUCAAGGCUGAGGCGUGAUGACGAGGCACUACGGUGCUGAAGCAACAAAUGCCCUGCUUCCAGGAAAAGCCUCUAAGCAUCAGGUAACAUCAAAUCGUACCCCAAACCGACACAGGUGGUCAGGUAGAGAAUACCAAGGCGCUUGAGAGAACUCGGGUGAAGGAACUAGGCAAAAUGGUGCCGUAACUUCGGGAGAAGGCACGCUGAUAUGUAGGUGAAGUCCCUCGCGGAUGGAGCUGAAAUCAGUCGAAGAUACCAGCUGGCUGCAACUGUUUAUUAAAAACACAGCACUGUGCAAACACGAAAGUGGACGUAUACGGUGUGACGCCUGCCCGGUGCCGGAAGGUUAAUUGAUGGGGUUAGCCGCAAGGCGAAGCUCUUGAUCGAAGCCCCGGUAAACGGCGGCCGUAACUAUAACGGUCCUAAGGUAGCGAAAUUCCUUGUCGGGUAAGUUCCGACCUGCACGAAUGGCGUAAUGAUGGCCAGGCUGUCUCCACCCGAGACUCAGUGAAAUUGAACUCGCUGUGAAGAUGCAGUGUACCCGCGGCAAGACGGAAAGACCCCGUGAACCUUUACUAUAGCUUGACACUGAACAUUGAGCCUUGAUGUGUAGGAUAGGUGGGAGGCUUAGAAGUGUGGACGCCAGUCUGCAUGGAGCCGACCUUGAAAUACCACCCUUUAAUGUUUGAUGUUCUAACGUUGACCCGUAAUCCGGGUUGCGGACAGUGUCUGGUGGGUAGUUUGACUGGGGCGGUCUCCUCCUAAAGAGUAACGGAGGAGCACGAAGGUUGGCUAAUCCUGGUCGGACAUCAGGAGGUUAGUGCAAUGGCAUAAGCCAGCUUGACUGCGAGCGUGACGGCGCGAGCAGGUGCGAAAGCAGGUCAUAGUGAUCCGGUGGUUCUGAAUGGAAGGGCCAUCGCUCAACGGAUAAAAGGUACUCCGGGGAUAACAGGCUGAUACCGCCCAAGAGUUCAUAUCGACGGCGGUGUUUGGCACCUCGAUGUCGGCUCAUCACAUCCUGGGGCUGAAGUAGGUCCCAAGGGUAUGGCUGUUCGCCAUUUAAAGUGGUACGCGAGCUGGGUUUAGAACGUCGUGAGACAGUUCGGUCCCUAUCUGCCGUGGGCGCUGGAGAACUGAGGGGGGCUGCUCCUAGUACGAGAGGACCGGAGUGGACGCAUCACUGGUGUUCGGGUUGUCAUGCCAAUGGCACUGCCCGGUAGCUAAAUGCGGAAGAGAUAAGUGCUGAAAGCAUCUAAGCACGAAACUUGCCCCGAGAUGAGUUCUCCCUGAC